rnacentral:lncRNA from 1 species
UCUUGCCCUGACCCCGCAGUGCGGUGGGUGACCUGGGCCUGCCUGGUGACACUUGGUGUUCCUCUGUCCCCGGUUCCCCCCGCCUGGAUGGUGCGCUCCUGCGGGAGGCGGGCGUCUCGUUCCCUCCCACACCUACUGCGUGUGUGGUCGAGGGAGAUCGGGGCAGAGACUGCGACUGGAGGGAAACGCAGAGGAUGGGUGAGGGACUUGCAAAGGGACAGUAGGAGAAUAAGCUGAGAAAGCGGGUGGGAAAAAAGAGAGAAGCGAGAGGAAAGCGGGGUCUCCGGGGAGGUGGAGGAGAGCAACGGAGAAGGGCCCUUGUUCAGGGGCAGGACCGGAGGAGCGACAGUGGCGAGGGAAUUCAGGUGGAGGGCCGGGGAGAGGACAAAAGAGUGAAAGCCUUGGCCGUCCGAGCCCCGUGUGGCUGAGACAGAGGACACAGGUGACAAGGAAAGCAGAGGGAGAAAGAGACCAGAAUGGCAGUAUAGCUCCCUGGGGGUGCCAGAGAGUGCGGACCACGGGAGUACAACGGAAAGAAGAGAGGGCGGUAAGGAAGAGCAGGGAAGGAGCCCGGAGGGGAGGAGGAAGAGGGAGAGAGGCAUGGAGACUGGGGAUCCGCGGAAAGACUGGGGGGAAGUAGAAACUACAGCGGAGAGAAGUUGCAGCGGGGGGCAGGACAGCUGUGAGAGGAGGAAUCCAGAGCAGGACAGACAGCAGGACAGGCGAGGGGAGCCGAAUGGGCAGAAACCCCUGGGGAAUACAGGAGGGAAAAACAGGAUCGAUGCAGAGGUGGAUAGAACGAGACAGGAAGACACACGGCAGCCAGAGCAGGCGGUGGACCUCCAUGCAGAUGAUUCCGAGUCGGCUGGUGGGCUGUGAGCUACUAAGUCGAUGUCCUCAAGUCCCUUUCGUCUGCUUCUCUGCAAAUAGAAGGAUGGCUGGAUUGACUUGAAACCUUUUUCCAAAAGAGCUCAUCUAUUUAUGAUGAAGAAAUUUGCUCACAAAGUAAACAAAGGAAUCUCCAACAAAACUGAAAUUAAAAAAAAACUUGGUCAAAGUUUACUUCGAUAGCUGACCCUCUUUUCAGUGUGUUCUGUACCAGUGGUUAUGUUUUCGCAAUUCUGAUUUUUAAAUGUUUUAUUGUGAUUUUUCUGGAAAAGAGGAAUUAAAUGCUUGGUAUCAGUGUGAUCAGACUUUCAAAGAAACUUGUCUUUCGCUG